UGUGGCUCUUCCUACUGUUCUUCAAGGUUAUUCCUUCUUCCCAUUGCAAUAUAUUACUUGUGUUCACAUAACACACUUGAACAAGUCAGUUCAUGACCUAGCAACUGCAUUUGGCCAAUGCAUUAAGCCUGGUUUGUGUUCAACCUGGUUGAUUUGAGUGUUAAGCAAUAUGUGUGAAUGACAAAUAUAUGCACUGGGGGGAGAGAGGCUGGAGAGGACAUUCCAGGCCUCCAACCAAGCCUGCAGGCCAACUUUGCAGAAAACAGAUGUUUCUUGUCUGCUUCCUUUUGAUCAACUCAGUGGCCUCAAAACGCCUUUAGGAAUUAUGCUCCACUCUAAACUGCCAGGUGCAUGAGAAAAAAUAUUUUCCAUCAAGCAAGCUUUCACUUCACAGUUCUUUCCUGGCUGUGUCUCUUUCUUUCUGCUUUAAGGAAGCCCUCAUUUCUCGAAGGUGCACCUGCUCAACCACAGUGGAAAGAAAAACCCAAUCUCCUGAGAUAUUCCUAGAACUACACACAUGUAUGCUGAUUUCAUAUGCCUGGAAAACAGCCUUUGCUAGAAGAAAUCAACUGGAAUUUGCCUGCGUGCAUGAGAGAUAAAUCAGACAGAUGGGAACAUGACAGAACAAGUGAAAAUUGGAAUCAGCCCUACAGCUGAAAUAAAUCAAUCUGUUCAUCUUGAUCCUACAAACUCCACCCAACGCUUAGCUUUUAUCCAGGGCUGCAGGAAGAGGCAUUGAACGUGCCCACCAGCGAUCGCUAAACUCAAAUUCUCAUUCUUUCUCCACCGCUGCUAGACAUGAGAAUUACUUCUCAGCCAGACUGAUAAAGGGACUGAUGGUUAUCAAAAGUAUGAGCAGAUUCGGUUUUCGAGAAAAAUGAAGCUUUCGCCCAUUUCUCUUCCUUUCCAUUGGGAGAGCCCUAAAAAGUGGGGAAAGAUUUUGGCACUGGAAUAGACUAUAUAAAGAGGCUUCAUGUGAAAGUCAAACACUUGCUGGAAUCCUUGUGUGGUAACUAUAAACUUUCUUUCUGAUAAAUACAACUAAUCAUAACUUUUAAGGUUUGUUCUUUGGAUUAAGACAGGGUUUCUCAGCCUCAGCAGGUUUAAGAUGUGUGGACUUCAACUCCAUAUAUCUUAAACCUGCUGAGGUUGAGAAACUCUGGAUUAAGAGUUUGUUUCUAGAAUUGUGAAGUAGGUCUGACAUUGUCUUGGCUAGUGCUGAAGGAAAUUGAAGACUAUAUAUUAUACACCCAUCCAAUAGUGAAUCUCCUGAGAAACACAACUGAACACUAAUUCUCAUCAUAACCACCUAGUGACAACAUUAAGGAACAGACUACCCCACAGCCUAUCCAGCUAUUGUUGGAGGACACUGCUGGACAUCAAAAAAAUUAACUCAAGUGCUCUGAGCACCCGGAGAAUGAACCUUUCCUGAUCUUGUUUUGAAAUACAUACAAUUGGUAGAAGGUCCAGAAGCUGGAAGCAAGAUGGAUCUAAUGAUCUAAUGCAUCUGAUGAAGCAUACAUCUGAUGAAGUGAGCUGCGGCUUGCAAAAAUGUAUUGCUUUUAAUAAACUUUCUUAGCCUGAAAAGGUGCUACCAGACUCUUGAUUUUUGACCACCAUGAGCAUGACUACACAAAAAUCAAGCAAGGAGUUUCCUAAGAAGGAUGCCAGAAAGAGUUGGGAUGAAGAGUCCAAACCACCUGGGAAUGGUACUACCCACCCCAGAGUACAAUCGAACUGGAGUUAAAGAAUCCCAUUGGCUGACA